GUAAGGCUUACGGGCGUCCCCCCGCUCAGGUGGUAUCUGACCGCGUCUCCUAGGAGACCGGGAGGCGGCUGGCGGUUUUCUCAUCAACUUCAGUUCCUCUUUAGUAGGGUUCACACCCAGCACGGAGCCCAAGGCAGAGCUUGAACUCAUGACCCUGAGAUCAAGACCUGAGCUGAGAUCAAGAGUUGGAUGCUUAACUGAGCCACCCCGGCACCCCGCAAGGAUCUCCUACAGCAAGCUUGUCUUCUCCAGAGCUCCAGUCUCCGCUGAACAACCCUGCCGUAGUUUCGGCUUCUGCAGAGUGACCUCAGCCCCUGGACUUAGGUCACAUCACUUUCUCCCCUUGUCCCUCUCACCUCCCUGGGUGGAGACGACUUCCUGCCAUUAGAAAGCCUGAGCCUCACCUA